GUGCUCACUUCGGCAGCACAUACACUAAAACCGGAAUGCUGCGGAGAAGAUUAGCACGGCCCCUGUGCAAGGAUGACACGCAAAUUCGUGAAGAGUUCCAUAUUUUG
ensembl:snRNA U6 U6 spliceosomal RNA